rnacentral:rRNA from 1 species
UACGUAGGCAGCGAGCGUUGUUCGGAGUUACUGGGCGUAAAGCGUGCGUAGGCGGUGUCUUAAGUUUGUUGUGAAAUCUCCCGGCUUAACCGGGAGGGUGCGGCGAAUACUGAGAUGCUGGAGUGCGGGAGAGGUAAGCGGAAUUCCUGGUGUAGCGGUGAAAUGCGUAGAUAUCUGGAGGAACACCGGUGGCGAAGGCGGCAUCCUGGACCGGUAUUGACGCUGAGGCGCGAAAGCUAGGGGAGCGAACGGG